GACGAACGCUGGCGGCGUGCUUAACACAUGCAAGUCGAACGAUGAAACCUAGCUUGCUAGGUCGAUUAGUGGCGAACGGGUGAGUAACACGUGACUAACCUGCCCCUUUCUCUGGGAUAACGCUCCGCAAGGAGUGCUAAUACCGGAUACUCACAUCGAGGCACAUGCGUUGGUGUGGAAAGUUGUUCGGAAAGGGAUGGAGUCGCGGCCUAUCAGCUUGUUGGUGAGGUAACGGCUCACCAAGGCGACGACGGGUAGCCGGCCUGGGAGGGCGACCGGCCACACUGGGACUGAGACACGGCCCAGACUCCUACGGGAGGCAGCAGUGGGGAAUAUUGCACAAUGGGCGCAAGCCUGAUGCAGCGACGCCGCGUGAGGGAUGAAGGUCUUCGGAUUGUAAACCUCUUUCAGUAGGGACGAAGCGAAAGUGACGGUACCUAAAGAAGAAGCACCGGCUAACUACGUGCCAGCCGCCGCCGUAA
rnacentral:rRNA from 1 species